CUUAUUAUAAGUAAAAUCUGCUCAAUGAGAGUAAAUAGCCGCAGGAUAUUUACUGUGCUAAGGUAGCAUAAUCAUUUACCUUUUAAUUAAAGGUUUGUAUGAAUGAUUACACAUUUUAAUUACUUUUUUAUAAAUAUUAUUGAAUUUAAACUAAUAAUAAAAAUGUUUUUAUUAACUAAAAAGACGAUAAGACCCUAUUGAACUUUACUAUAGUUUAGCUGGGGAAGCUAAUUAAAUAUAAUUUUAAUAACCAAAAUAAAAAUUCUAAUAUAAUUAACAUCUAAAGUUACCAUAGGGAUAACAGCGUAAUAUAAUUUUAAAGAUCUUAUUAAAAAUUAAGCUUACGACCUCGAUGUUGAAUUAAGUUCCUUCAAAACGCAAUAGUAUAAAAGUAGGUCUGU
rnacentral:rRNA from 1 species